CCGGCGGCGCCGAUAUCUACAUCAUGUACAUACGCUGGAACAUGCUAGCCUUUCACCUCGCGGGUGACCAUCGUGUCCGAGCCCGAGCCCGACCCCACGCGACGUGUUGCGACGCCGGAAAAAGCGAAACUCUCGCCCUGACCCAUCCGUCGCCCUUUUCCCUACAGGACGGUAACCUCUGCGACCCCGCCGCGGUGGCUGCCAUCUUCGACAAGUAUCAGCCGACCCACGUGAUCCACCUCGCGGCCAAGGUGGGCGGUCUUUUCGCCAACAUGAAGCACAAGGUGCAGUUCUGGAGGGACAACGUCAACAUGAACGACAACAUCUUCCAGGAGUGCCACAAGCGCGGCGUGCAGAAGCUAGUGUCAUGCCUCUCCACCUGCAUCUUCCCCGAUAAGACCACCUUCCCGAUCGACGAGACCAUGAUUCACGACGGCCCCCCUCACUUCUCCAACGAGGGCUACGCCUACGCCAAGCGUAUGGUUGAUGUCCAGAACCGCAUGUACAAGUCCCAGUACGGGUGCAACUUCACCGCUGUCAUCC
rnacentral:lncRNA from 1 species